rnacentral:rRNA from 1 species
AUGGAGAGGCAGUCUAGCUCCCGGUUCGGCGCGCUGGAGAAGCUCAAGAGCUUCCGGGGCAUAGAGAAGCAGAGGAGCUUCAAGUUCCUGUCCAUGGAGAAGCAGCAGAGCUUCAAGGAGAGGCGGAGCCGGGACAGCCCCGGGAAGAGGGGCGACAGCGCGCUCCACCUCGCGGCCAGGGCCGGCAAUGUCUCCCACGUCCAGAGGAUCUUCGCCGACUGCGAUCCGGAGCUGGUGGGGGAGCUGGCCGCCCACCAGAACCUGGACGGCGAGACGGCGCUCUACGUGGCCGCCGAGAAGGGGCACGUCGACGUCGUGUGCGAGAUACUCAAGGCCUGUGACGUGCAGUCAGCGGGGCUCAAGGCGACCAACAGCUUCGAUGCCUUCCAUAUCGCGGCGAAACAGGGCCAUCUGGAUGUUCUGCAGGAGCUAUUGCAGGCAUUUCCUGCGUUAGCUAUGACGACGAGUUCUGUGAAUGCCACAGCUUUAGACACCGCCGCAACCCAGGGCCACAUUGGUAUCGUCAAUCUUCUACUGGAUACAGACGCAAGCCUUGCCAGGAUUGCAAGAAGUAAUGGGAAGACAGUUUUGCAUUCAGCAGCAAGAAUGGGUCAUGUGGAGGUGGUAGCGUCGUUGUUGAAUAAAGAUCCGGAUAUUGGUUUCAGAACAGACAGGAAGGGACAGACAGCACUGCACAUGGCUUCGAAAGGCCAGAAUGCUGAAAUUCUGCUUGAGCUGCUGAAGCCCGAUGUCUCAGUAAUCCAUUUGGAGGAUAACAAGGGGAACAGGGCACUCCAUGUUGCAACGCGGAAGGGCAAUACCAUUAUGGUUCAGACUUUAAUAUCCAUUGAAGAGAUUGAUAUCAAUGCAGUCAAUAAAGCUGGAGAGACUGCUUUUGCCAUUGCAGAGAAACAAGGCAAUGAAGAGCUUGUUAACAUCCUGCGAGAGGUUGGAGGGAUAACUGCAAAAGAGCAAGCAAAUCCUCCGAAAUCAGCCAAGCAGCUUAAGCAAACAGUGAGCGAUAUCAAGCAUGACGUCCAAUCACAGAUCAAGCAAACGCGUCAGACCAAGAUGCAUGUCCACAAGAUCAAGAAGAGGAUUCAGAAGCUCCACAUUGGCGGGCUAAACAAUGCCAUCAACUCCAAUACCGUUGUCGCGGUACUUAUUGCUACCGUUGCCUUUGCAUGCAUAUUCACCAUUCCUGGUAAUUUUCUGGAGAGUAUGGACAAAGCUACUGAGCCCGAUAUGACCUUAGGGCAAGCACUGGUAGCAAGCAGGCCAGCCUUUAUAAUCUUCUUGGUCUUUGAUUCCCUGGCUCUCUUUAUCUCUCUUGCGGUCGUCGUCGUCCAGACUUCCCUGAUCGUUGUUGAGCAGAAGGCAAAGCAGAAGAUGGUGUUUGUGAUGAACAAGUUGAUGUGGCUCGCGUGCCUCUGCAUAUCAGCAGCCUUCAUAGCGCUGACCUACGUCGUCGUGGGCCGCAAUGACGAGUGGCUGGCUUGGUGCACGAUGGCGAUCGGCACAGUGAUUAUGCUAACCACCAUUGGUUGCAUGUGCUAUUGCAUCAUCAGCCACAGGAUGGAAGCACAGAGCAUGAGGAGGAUCAGGAGGUCCUCCAUGAGCCAGUCAUGGUCCAUAUCAGUCGACUCGGACACGGAGCUAGACAUGACCAGCAGAAACAAGACGAUGUAUGCGCUCUAG